rnacentral:pre_miRNA from 1 species
UGUGCACCAGUGGGGUCCCUCGGCCUGGCCUGUGCCCACUCAUAAUCUGGGACCCCUCAGGGGAUGUAGGAGAGCCGGUUUCGGCCUGAUCCCCGCAGGCCAGGCUGAGGGACUCCACUGGUGCACG